GUUAAUUAAACCAAUUGAAAAGCCAACAAACUGAAAGGAAACCCAAACAAAGACUCUGAAUCGAACCAAACCAGUCCUGAAUCAAACCAAACCAUUUCCUGGAAACCUAAACCAAACUGCCUAAAAGUUUCUUCUCCUAUUAGCGCCGAGCUCCACCCCUCCCCCUUUCCCUUUCGCUUUUUCGAUCACCUGAAGCCAGCGCCAUCCCAUCGCCUCGCGUUGCCGUUCCCCUGCUACUCUCUCUCUCCCUCUCCUCUGUUAUCUCGGGCAAGCGGCUAGCACAGCUAUCUCACGAAGCCUGCAACUUUGCUGAUCGGGAAAUUGCGUCGCCACUCCAGCUCGAUUUUCCGGCGACUUCAGUGCAUGCAGCCAACUGUGGCCUCCCUCUAGUCGACGGUGAAGCUCUAGCUCUCUUUCUCGCCGUCCUCUCUCCUUCCCAUUCCUGCUGGUGCAGCAAACUAAGGAGCUGCGAGUUGCGAUCUUUUGCGAUCGGGAUAGUCGACUCGCCAAUCUUCUUUGUUUUUUCCGGUGAAACCUGUCAAGUAUCGGCUGGUUGCACCUUCCAACGUCUCCAGCAACUUCAUUGGCCACCGUUUUCCUUGGCUCCGGCCAAGCCACCGCCGGAAGAGUCAACCUUGAGCGUUGAAUCUGUUUUCGAUUAAUUUAAUCGAAAGUAAUCAACUUCCGACAUAAUUUUCAGCUAGGAAGUAGGAUUCUCGUCGAGUUGGCUAAAGCUCUGGGACCUUUGCAGAUCUAUAUAAGUAAAUUCCUAGUUUCCGUAAUUAACUAAUUUAUGUAUUGUUAUAUAUAAGAACUGUACUACUUGUAGUUAUUAUUGAAUCCGCAGUUGUAGGAUUUAUAUAUCUCUAAUCGCGUAGUUAUAUGGGUAUACUAUUCUAUGGACU